GGUUGUGGCUCAGUGACAGAGUGCUUGCCUAGCAUGUGUGAGGCCCUUGGUUCGAUUCUCAGCACCA
rnacentral:tRNA from 1 species